rnacentral:lncRNA from 1 species
AUUUUUUAAAAAAUAUUCAUUUUCAAUCGUUCAUUUUUGUGUCCACUUGAUGGAUAAGAAAACAAUAUAAAAAAUGUAUGAAAUUUGAUUUCUAAAUACUUCAAGUGGUAUAGAUCAUGUUUAACGGUGCCGAUUGUCAAUUUGGAGGCUUCAUCAUUGAAAACAAAUGGGUGGCAACGGAACCCGUAUGCUACCGAUAGUAUUCUAGCUCAACUCUAUAUAUAUAUAUAGAACUAGGCUGGAAUACUAUCAAUAGCACCAAGCUAUUAGUGCGAUUAAGUUUUCGGCCUUUGAAUGAAAAAAUAUACAGUUAAGAUGAUGUGGGCCCUCUAAGAUUGAGUGAGUUAUUGGUUUAAUAGUAUAAUCUAACGGAUAAAAAUAGUCGAAGGGUUAAAUCUAACAGCAGAAAACUUGAUAGCACCAAACGCUUGGUACUAUCGAUAGCAUAUCAGCGGGA